rnacentral:rRNA from 1 species
GAGUGGCGGAUGGGUGAGUAACGCGUGGGUAACCUGCCUUGUACAGGGGGACAACAGUUGGAAACGACUGCUAAUACCGCAUAAGCCCACAGCUCGGCAUCGAGCAGAGGGAAAAGGAGCAAUCCGCUUUGAGAUGGCCUCGCGUCCGAUUAGCUAGUUGGUGAGGUAAUGGCCCACCAAGGCGACGAUCGGUAGCCGGACUGAGAGGUUGAACGGCCACAUUGGGACUGAGACACGGCCCAGACUCCUACGGGAGGCAGCAGUGGGGAAUAUUGCACAAUGGGGGAAACCCUGAUGCAGCGACGCCGCGUGGAGGAAGAAGGUCUUCGGAUUGUAAACUCCUGUUGUUGAGGAAGAUAAUGACGGUACUCAACAAGGAAGUGACGGCUAACUACGUGCCAGCCGCCGCGGUAAAA